rnacentral:lncRNA from 1 species
UGCAACAAAGUAAAAGACUUUUUUUCUUACUGGACAAUAAAUGUGUCUAAAAGUCAGUCAUAAUAAACCUCUUAAGUCUAAACGCAGUUCUUGUCACAUGUAACAUCAGCUCAAUUCCAGACAAAACAUUUUUUACAGUUGGAUUUCAGCAAAAACUAAACUUGUUCGCUUCUUUGCAGUGCAAUAAAAAGACUAAUUCAUGAUCUUUUCAAUUGUGUCUCAAAGAACUACAACACAAAACUAACAGUUGUUGUGAAACCAGUAAGUCCUAAUUGCUGCCUCACUGUCAUUUUUCCUUCUUUAAUCUGAAUUCAAUCAAUUGUAAGAAAAAACGACUGCAUUUACAAUAUUACAUUACAAUUUAUAUUAUCUUGAGGUCUAAACAGCUGAUUUUGGAUAAAACAUACACUUUUAUUUUGACCUACUUUAAAUUACAAUAAUUUUGUAAACUCUGCAACAUAAGAAUUUGAAAAGUUUUGUUGUCAUUCCAUACGCAUUUUCAACUCAACAAACUUAUCGGACUACCGGUAAUUUAAAUAUAAAACCUGACAAGGCGGUAAUUUGAUAUCCGCCAAAAUGAAGUUUGGUCCUUCGCAGCUUCCGUACUGGUUUACUGCAGCAAUCUUCGAUUUGGCCACUGGGGGGAGCAGCUGUCGCCCCAGUUUGCGUGAGGAGACGCAUGGCUCGACUCCCAUGAGAAAGAGGCCAGCUGAUCACACAUGACUGCUUUUUAAAGAAUGGUAACUUGUCUUGCCGGGAGCUUGUGACAGUGAGACUCUCUAAGUGGACACAUGAGAGUGAACGCUGCCCCUUGAGAUGCAGCUCAGCUCUGCUGUGCAAUAGGAGGGCAGAAAGCGACAGGCUCUCGAUAGCUCCAGGUCCCCCGUGGUGGACUUUGAGUAUGGAACCGGGCCUGACAUGUUACUGUGGAGCCAGAACUCCUGUCUCUGAUCACUUUUGUCCAGAAUAGUUGAAUUAGUUUGUUUUUAACGGCAGUUAAACAACAAAUCCACACCAAUUUUCAGCCUGUUUAGCUGACUUUUAGCUCAUUUUCUUUGUUAUUAUGGAAGCAUAUUGCAUUCAAUGAAAUAAAUAAAAACUAGGGGUUCUUCGUUCUAAUUUAUCUUUUAAUUUUUUGUGUUUUUCAUGCUCUUUUUUUUUAACUAUAUAAGGCAAGUUUGUUUGUAUGGCACAAUUCAUACACAAAGAAAUUCAAAGUCCUUCACAAAUCAGGAAAAUGCAUUAAAAUCACAAUACAUAGCAGUGCAAAGAGUAAAACCAUAAAUAAUCAUUUUAAAAUUUACUGUAAAAGAAAGGAAAAGAUUUGAUGGGCUUUAGCUCGUCGUAGAAUGCAUUAAAAUCAAAACAUGUCAGUGCAAAAAUUAAAGCAUAAAUAAUUAAAAUAAUAAACACUCGUUUUUUUUAAAAGAAAAAAACUUCCAUAUGUUUUGACAUUUGUCAGUUUUGAAUAAGAUUACAUAUACAUAUUUAAAUUUCAGAAACUUUUAAAG